GGGCGCAUAGUUUAGUGGUAAAACAUGUCACUGAUAAUGACAAGACUCUAGGUUCGAUUCCUAGUGCGCCCA
rnacentral:tRNA from 1 species